rnacentral:lncRNA from 1 species
UUUCAUGCCAUUUGGAGUCCUGUAGCUAUAGGUUUUGCUGCUGUCAAUAUGCCUUCAGGCUGAAAACUGCACUUUCAGGAGGUGUUAUUUUCACUAAGUCUGAAAUAGUGUGUGAGAUGCCAUUUUGUGUCUUCUUUUCCUAGUGAUCCAUGAUGCCAUGCUAGUUGUUGUUAGUUGUUUGUAGUAGUGCUUCUUGCCCUAUUCCGUG